rnacentral:rRNA from 1 species
GAUAAACGCUGGCGGCGCACAUAAGACAUGCAAGUCGAACGGACAGAAGCCUUAGUUUACUAUGGUGGAAGUUAGUGGCGGACUGGUGAGUAACACGUAAGCAAUCUGCCUAUCAGAGGGGAACAACAGUUAGAAAUGACUGCUAAUACCGCAUAUGCCUAAGUAACACAUGUUACAAUAGGGAAAGGAGCAAUCCGCUGAUAGAUGAGCUUGCGUCUGAUUAGAUAGUUGGUGGGGUAACGGCCUACCAAGUCGACGAUCAGUAGCCGGACUGAGAGGUUGAACGGCCACAUUGGGACUGAGAUACGGCCCAGACUCCUACGGGAGGCAGCAGUCGGGAAUAUUGCGCAAUGGAGGAAACUCUGACGCAGUGACGCCGCGUGCAGGAAGAAGGUUUUCGGAUUGUAAACUGCUUUAGACAGGGAAGAAACAAGACAGUACCUGUAAAAUAAGCUCCGGCUAACUACGUG